rnacentral:misc_RNA from 1 species
GACGGCGCAGAAGGGGAGUAGCUCUUCGCCGGACCGUCGACAUACUGCUCAGCUCGUCUGAGCCGGCGCCCGGAGGCGGGGUUCGAGUACCCGCCAGCGAGACCUUCGGCAAGCAG